CAGCUGCAGUGGCUCAGUGUCCUCCUGUCUGUCUGUCGGUCGGUCUGUGUUUUCAAGUUUUGGCAGCGCGACUCGUGUGUGUGCGUGUGCCUGUUGUGUGGUGGAGUCAAGUCAGUCCGUGGACAUCUUACACUGGUCAGGCCAGGCCAGGCCAGGCAGUUUGUGAGCCCUGUCAACAGGCUGUGCCACGUGUGUGUUGAGCCGAAACUAACACGGAGUAGCAUGCGUGAAGAGACACACCAACUGGUCGAUAUUAAUACUGUAUUAUGGUCUUAUUUACUAUGUGCGGACCGUAGGAGUGUCUUUGAGUCUGUCGCGGCAUUUUUGAACUUGACGCAAGGUAUCAGCGUGGAAGGUCAGCAAGCGCUUCGUUCUUCUUUUUUUUUGUAAAUGGUGACCUUUUAGCGGAUAUACGGUGGCGGCCCUAGUUGGGGCUUCAACGCCCAGGAAGGAGGAUAGAGAGAGACAGUCGUUGGUGACUGCGUGCGUUUGAUGAUAUUCGUGGUUGUAUUCUAGACAAACUUUUUGACUGCUUUUGUGUUCACGAUGUUGAUCUGGAGAUCGAUAACACAGGAGUGUUGACCACAGGAUAGACCAGAGAAGCCGCUCAAAGGCUACGGCUACCCAAGCCAGCAGGGAUUAUCUUCAUUUCUCACUUGACUGAUCUCGGCUUGUUUGUUGUGGAGUAGACAUUGUUUGAUUGUAUGUGGAUCUGUGUGUUAACUCUCGCCACUCAGGGCGCUACAGAUGAGACCACAGCGGUGAGCUGAUCAGGCCUACUCGGUGCCUUUGCAAGUAAGUGUUUAGAUGUCAUUUUAAAUAGUUUCGUAUACUGUGGAAUGGUGAUAAGUAGUACAUUGUACCAUCGUCUGUGGUGUAAUGGUUGUACUCUUUGUGUUUGGCUCUGUAAA